rnacentral:rRNA from 1 species
GAUGAACGCUGGCGGCGUGCCUAAUACAUGCAAGUCGAGCGAACGGACGAGAAGCUUGCUUCUCUGAUGUUAGCGGCGGACGGGUGAGUAACACGUGGAUAACCUACCUAUAAGACUGGGAUAACUUCGGGAAACCGGAGCUAAUACCGGAUAAUAUUUUGAACCGCAUGGUUCAAAAGUUAAAGACGGUCUUGCUGUCACUUAUAGAUGGAUCCGCGCUGCAUUAGCUAGUUGGUAAGGUAACGGCUUACCAAGGCAACGAUGCAUAGCCGACCUGAGAGGGUGAUCGGCCACACGGGAACUGAGACACGGCCCAGACUCCUACGGGAGGCAGCAGUAGGGAAUCUUCCGCAAGGGGCGAAAGCCUGACGGAGCAACGCCGCGGGAGUGAUGAAGGUCUUCGGAUCGUAAAGCUCUGUUAUUAUGGAAGAACAUAUGUGUAAGUAACUGUGCACAUCUUGACGGUACCUAAUCAGAAAGCCACGGCUAACUACGUG